rnacentral:lncRNA from 1 species
GCAAUUGCCGGCCGACCCGAUGGGUGCCCGGCUUGUGGGCACGCUGCGGCCUUACGCUUAUCACCCCCCCUCACAUCUUGCCGGCGCCCGAUCGCUGACACCCUCUCCUUGCCUCUUAAUCCCCACGCGAGUCUCGCCAGGCCCCGGGCGGAGAAGGGCUGUGGAGCCCGAGUCUCGCCGCCACCGCGCAUCUCCCGCAGCAGCCUGCAAACAGUUAAAUAUGAUGCAGCAGAAAUGCAGUUGCUGUUGCCUUGCCAGGCCUUGCGGGAAUUUCUUUAAAACAUCGCCCCCCACCCAUUAUUUAUGUAUUCGUGGGAGGGUGGUUUUGUAACCAGUUCAGAAGAGUUAAAACAAAAACGCCACCGCAGGAAGGGGGUGUGCGGCGAAUGGGGCCGAGGAAGGCCGGAGUGACCGUGGGCAUCUGUCUGCGGCCGGGGUCUCGGGCGGCACCUGUCCUCGCCCAGGAGACCGGGGAGGAUUCGGCGGGGCCGGUGUGGCAGUGGGGGAGGGAGAGGGACCGCGGGCAGGAACGGGCUCCCCGCACUCCGCCUUGGGCCCACAGCGGGUCAUCAUCUGGUCAUUCGGCAGAAACCGCCUUCGCGGUCAUAUCUGUGUUUUCCGAUUCCCAGCACCCCUCCCGGCCCCCCGACCUGGCCGCGUCCCUCUCCCCGCCCGCAGCUGCGCGAAGCUUCCGCCAUUGCUCUGGGGAGCCCAGAUCCCAGCUUCCCACUUGAGGAGGGGCGGGGGAUCGAGCUGGGGCUGUCCAGGAACGGACACACAAAAAAUAGCCCUGCCGCGCA